GCAGGUUAUGUUUACGUGCGUGGAUGUGAGCCACGUUAAAAUAAAGAAGCUUGCUCACUGCUACUGAUGUUUUAUUGAAAACACGUGGGACGUGGGAGACAGGAUAAGUGCUGCGGGGAACCUGUUAAAAUCAAAACAUAUGACCCACGUGAAAAGGGACGGAAACUCACGCUGAACCACGUGACGACUCUGCGUUCUGAGCGUCUGCUGACGCGGCUCUCGGUUCAGCGGCUCUAGCCUGUCUGGCAACUGCGGCUCACAUGACCGCAGUCGGUGCUUCCUCACUGCGCUGAGGAGCCGUGCAGGGGCCGACUCCAAGCUCCAGCUCUACGGGAAUAACAGCCCAGGGGAGCGGGGGGACAGCUGACAUGAGCUGCUGUUAGUCGGUGAAGCUGUGAGCCGUUCUCUCAGAUCCUAGAUGUGUCCAUGCUGCAGGCCGGGGAUCCUGGAUGGGAAAGAAGCAGACGAAUGUUUAUUCCAGCCCCUGCAGUGAAAACAUAGCACAGGCAAAACACAGAGACUCUCUGCUGGGCAACAUGAGUACAGACAGACCCAAGCGGAACGUCAUCAGAAAAAGAUAUGACAUCAGUGACGGGAUGCCGUGGUGUGAAGAACGUCUGGUCCGCAAAGUUCUCUUCCUUUCUCUCAGGGAAUACAGAGACAAACACCGUGCUGCACACACUCACUCACACAUACACAAGUGUCCACAUGCUCUGCAAAAGACACUGACAAAACCUAAUGCACACAAGAAAACACAAGCAAGAAAAAACAUGCACACACAACAGCAAAGACUCACAUGCAAACAGCUAAAUACAUACACACAGGCGAACACACGUACUGCACAAAACCUGCACGUUUCAAAGCGCCUGCACGCUGAACACACAAACAAACGGCAGACAGCUCACUUGAAUUGGGUCUCGCACUCUCCAGAAAGUAAAUGUACUCGGAUACUACGGAACACACAAACUCAGAUGAAAUUGUGUAAAAGGAAAGUUGCACACACUCGGCAGCGUACUUGCACGGACCAGAAGACGUCUUCUACCAGGACACUACGCUCAAAUAAAACACAAAACACGCUGUCGCUGCAGAACUCAAAAUACCCCAAACCUGCAAAACGCACAGACACUGCUCAACACACACACUCACUGAACAACAUGUGCAGAUCUAAAAACACAAAGAUGCCACUGAGAGCUGCUCUCUCAGCCAGGACUCUGAGGUCGCACACCCCAACAAGUGUCUGUGGCUCUGUAGUUAACACUGCGAUCAAGCGUCGGGCAGCUGGUCCAAACUGGAGCUGGUCCUUACAGACGCAACAACGCCAUCCUACCAGCAGUCGUGGUGAUGAAGAUGAUUGUGCCAAAAACAGACCUCGGCUGCACGCACAGAGAAAGUUUGCUCAGUCCCCACCCAGCUCUCCAGGACCAUUGGUGCUGAUGAGGUCUGCACAGAAUACCCACUCCCACAGCCUGGCUGUAGUCACCUGUCUGACCAAACGUCGCCCUAAGACUGAGGACUUUUUGUCUUUUCUCUGUUUAAGAGGUUCAGCAGCAUUACCGCGCAACAUGGCAUUCUUAACAAGUAAGCGAGACAGGGAGCCAGGUGACAGUCAGCGUUUGCCUUCCUGUCACAAGGCUCCAGCUGAGGAGAAGAAAAUCAGGAUGUUAUGUAGAAAAACAGUGCACAGUGACUCCAGGUCACUGAAGAGGAGGCCUGCCAGCCCUGCUGUGCUCAGAUCCACCUGCCCUUUAACAGCUCGAGCACAGAAAAGGAUGGACAGCGAUGAAAGAGAAGGGAAGCAACAGAAGAAGGGAGUGGAGGGGGACAGGCGAGAGGGCGCUCAGAUACACCUCCUGAGACCUCGCCAGCACUUACUUCAUGUCAAGAGGGCUAACAAGGUUGCCAUGGUUACUAAAAUCUCUGAGCAAAGAACCUCCUGUGUAGCGUCAGUCAUUCCUUUAACGCCGAGAACUGGUGUUGGUAACAAACAAGGCACAAGGCCAAGCAAUACAUACAAAUCAAGGCGCCAUCCCCAAAGCAGAGCCCAGGAAAGCAGCAACAAGUACCACCCCCUACAUCACAACCACCGUCGGGCUAACAAUCAGCACCUUCGCCACCCAACGCUUUCUAAAUACUAUAGCAUCCACACAACCUUCAGUAUUCUCCACAAUUCAGGAAGAAAUUCAUGCCAAACUCCAUGUUUAAAUAAACGUUCAGUGUCUAGACGGCUGAAUGAGAACCCUGUGGUCCUGAGGUUAUCCAGACGGAGGAGAGGCCUUCCACCAGACACCAGCCCUGUCCUUCCGAAUCGGGUUCCCUUGGACAAAAACUCAUCAAAUGAGUGCCAGACAUCUCAGGACAAAGAUGCUCGUGUCUCACAGGAGAGUGAUAUUUACGAGAUUCAGCAGAAAGGGGACAAUGUUAGAGAGGAUUAUGUGAACAUGUGUAAACACUCUGGUAACCACGAUGUGAAAGCUGUAGGAAAAAGAUACGGGCAUGUUGGAGAUGUGAAACUUGAGAGGGGAAAGGGAAAUAUAGAAAAGCUGCCUGUGGCAAGCACAGCUGCUCUGGAGGCCUCUGAUCAAAGGGAAAGCCUCACUAAUGUCAGCACUAGCUAUAACCUCAUGCCUGCUGGUGAGGUUGUAUGGAAACACCUGAGAGAGAAAACACUCCAAAAACAUCAGAACUCUACAAUCUUAAAGCCACCUGCCAGGGCUAAUGAGUCCAGGGCUGCUGCUAGGACUAGUGUAACUAAAGCUGCUAUUAACUCAGUGACAUCUGACCCACCAGCCAAUUCUUUUUCCAGGCACAGUGCCAAGGGUACUGAUAACAGCAAGAAAAUUAAGAAGAGUAGUUUACGAGCCGGCACCAACAUAGCCCAUGAAUCCAAAAGUGCUACAAAACAGUCUUCAAUGAGCACCACGAAGGACACAUGCAAGGAUGGUGCACUUACCAUCAGUUACUGUAGCACUUCCAAAGAGGGGCUUCUCCAGGCCAAGCCUACUACCUCAGCCAUCAAGACCAGGUUCAGCUCUAGAAUCCUUCUAAAGCACUGAUUUUUAAACAGUAUCCAAACAUGAAUACACUCACUGUUAUGUAACUAAGAUUUUAUGAUGACAAGUACAGAAAUGUUUUUAAAAGCUUUUAUUGUGUUGAAUAGUGGCAGAGCAUGAUGAUGGGUUUCCUGUCAGACAGUACAUGUCCUGUACUGGUGUCAUUGUUGAAGAUAAAAUAAACUGGAAGUCAUGAUACUGGCUGAUGCACUAUAACGUGGACUGUAUGAUGCAGAAGUGAUAAAGCUUAAAAGCUGCUAGCUUUCAGUUUUUUCAUUGUUUGCUUUUUGUCUGUUUAUUUUCUUCUUGCUUGCUAUUUCUCUUACUGUAUCUUGGAAAAAAAAUAAAAGUAUGGGGGGGGGCACCUUUUAGCACAUUAUGGUAAAUGGACUACUCAGUGUGAGCUGUCAAAGCACUUUUUCUACACGUUUCAUUCACUCAUUCACGCACAAUGCGUUUAUCUGUCUAAAGUGCAUUUACAUAACAAUCGCACACACUUUGAUGGGAGAUCCAUGAGCGGACCUCGGGGUUCAUUAUCUGCUUGAAGGAUUCUGUGACACAUGGACAGCUGGAGCCAGGCAUCAAGCCGCCGACCUGGUAGAGCACCAGCUCUGCCUCGGAGCCGCGGCCACCACGAGGUCAACAUUUUGUUUGAACAGCUACAGUAGUUGGUCUCCUCGGCUCCCAGCUGCCCUCGGGCUUCUGUCCUAACAUUUCUGAAACGUGUUGCUAACUUGAAAUUUAUGUAUUCAAAAUAAUAAAAACAGUUUUAAAAUUGAAGCUUUAACAUUUGACAUUUUUAUACUACUGCUACAUUUUGACCCAAGACAGUUUGUUGUACUACAUAAUGUCGCGUUUAAUCAGUCUGCAUAUUUUAUCUGCAUUGCCAAUAAUAACUUUUGCACUAUUUUAGGACCAUAAUAAACGUUUCAGCUAACAUAAUUUACUAAUGCUAGAAUGUAAAGAAUGCAAUAACAGCACCACUGCUGCAUCAAGCAACGUGCAGCAUGACCCCUGGGUGUUUGCUACCCGGGGGAUCAAACCCUCUGUGGGGCAAGUGUUGCCAUCUUGGAGGAUGGAGGUUGGUCCUAGACGAUGGAAAUACAAGAUUUCCACUGAUAUGUUUCUUGAGUGAGAUUAAUGACAAGCCUCAUUUUUCCAGUAAGGACUAUGCUACCCUAUAUUUCUAUGCUGCCUCCACCAAAAGCUGUUGUUCUCCGAGCCUUCCUCACACUUUGACCCUAUGAUCAAACUGCCAUAGGCGGAAUCUGGACUCAGUGCUGACAGACUGUUCCUCUCAAUGUUCAUGUCCCAGAACAUGUUACUGACACCAGCACAGACAAGUCAAGCUCACAAGUAUUAGAUCUGCUCAUUCGGAAAAUCAUCGGCUGCAGGAUUAGUGAAGCUGAAGCAAACGCUGAGAUUACAGCUGUAACUGUAUCCUGAUGCAUAGAAAGUGGUUGAUUAAUAAAAUAAACAUUUAAAU
ensembl:lncRNA